CGAAAACCGGUAACGCCGUCGUCUGCUUUCGGCCGCCGACGCGGACCGCCGACUUGACAGCGUUGCCAGCUCACCUUUAAAGUAUUUAUUGGCCUUCUCCUUGAGUAGCUCGGCAUCGUUUACUCCCUCCGCCAUCUUCUUCACGCUGCCGUAAUCCGACGCGUACGCCAUUGACGGACUGUCGCAAAGGUCGCAAAGUUGUGGCAUGAGUUUUCUUGCUCGCGUCGAACAAUCUGUUUUAAGAUUUGUUUUCUUUUGAUGAAUAGUUACAAAAUUAGCCUAAACAGGCAUCAUUUUACUAAAAUGGAAUGCGUGUGCAAGCUAACAUUACUUAACACAACAGACGACGCUACAGGAUGGCUUCUGGUGCCUUCAGGCAUGAGGAUGUUGCUCUGGAAAUUUCCUGCCAUCUGAGCUCAGCGGGUAGCUGCCGGCCUCCACAGAUGUCAGAGUAAAGGGGACAAACAAAGUGCAGGUUAUAGUGAAUUCCCUGGAUUACUGCAACUCCCUCCUCCUUGGCCUCCCUCAAAAGACCCUACAUAAACUGCAACUGGUCCAGAAUUCAGCGCUCGCAUUAUAACCCGUACCCCAUUCAUCCACCACAUCACUCCAGUUCUCUGCCAGCUCCAUUGGCUCCCGGUCCGCUUCCGCAUCAAGUUCAAAGUUCUCCUCCUCACAUUCAAGGCCAUCCACAACCUUGCCCUUGCCCUCCCUACCUGUCCAACCUCCUCCAAUUCACAAUGCCCUCCCGUGCCCAUACUGUAGGUCCUCCACCUCCAUACACUUGUCUGUCCCCCUCCCGCUCGCCUCAUCACUACCACCCGACCUCAGGAACACAAACUCACUCCCCCUUUUUCAAUCGGAACUCAAAACUCACCUGUUCAGACUCGCAUAUCCAUAAUAAUCCCUGAUUUGUGUUAUACUGUUCUGCUAAUUAUUUUCAUAGAUUAGUAUUUUAUUGUUUUGAAAAAUCUAUACUUAAUUAUUUUUAGUCUUUCGUCAUUAUUGUAGUUUUUAGCCUUUGUCUAAUCGUUUUUUAAACGACCCUGAGUGCCAGAAAGGGGCCUUCAAAUAAAAUGUAUUAUUAUGAAUUUCACGUUAAUCCUGCAAUUCCACCAGGAAGGCUAAUGUUUCAAUCUUUUCGUGUCCAAUACACAUACAUGGCAAGUGACACACUGUUGCCUAGAAUUAAAUCGUUUGCCAAAAACAUAACGCAACCUUAGGUGGAGAGGUUCGCUUUUCCACUGCCAGAACUCCACUGCACAGACUAAUGAGAGUGGCGCCUGAAAAGGAAAAGGAGACUUCUGAUUUAAAUGUUUGUGGCUUUCUUCUUUAAUGAGGAGACUGUGUUUCAUACAUUACUGCGACAUGAAGGAGUAUAGCCUAAUCCGCUCUCCUUGCUCUGAUUCACAAAGAGCAUCCAAGAGUCAAGUGUGAGUGGCCAGGGAGUCAGGUGAGUCACCACCGGUGACCCCCCGGUGAACACUUAGUAACCAUGCAGUGUGAUUACACUUUCCCUUUACCCAUAAGAGCGAUGACUCGUGUCUCCCUCCGAGUCAUGUAAGAAGAUGUGUUGAAAGUACUUUCACUGUAUGCUAGGCCUGCCGAUUUUAAGCCUGAGGUCAUAGAUUAAAAAAAAAAAAUAUAUAUAUAUAUAUACACAGUAUAUAUCAAAGUGAUACUUCCUCUUUUUGAAUCGCUAAAUGUGGUGGAAAUGCAACUUAACUAU